GCCCAGGGGGCUCAAUUGGUUAAGCGUCUGACUUUGGCUCGGGUCAUGACCUCAUGCUUCGUGGGUUCAGGUCCCACAUUGGGCU
rnacentral:tRNA from 1 species